CAAGAAGCAACGAAGGGAAUCAGUAGGAUCUGUCACUUGGUGUUUCAGAGAGUCGGCGGUUGGUGCAAGCCGGUACACAUGCAGAUGCGAAUUACGUCCUGGAGCGUUUUCGCCCGAACCCGCGCAUUGGCGGAAGGGGAAGACGGCUGUCGACCGUUAUCCGACAUGAAGUGGAAUAUGCGAAUGCGGCAUGUUCAAUUAGGGUGGUACCGCGAUGACUCGUCCCUGUC
rnacentral:ncRNA from 1 species